rnacentral:sRNA from 1 species
AUCUCCCGGCGGGCCGAGCGCUGAAGGCAGCGGCGCGGCGCGGCGCCUUUGUGGUAGCAGUGGCCCCGCGCGGAGGAAGUUCCGGUCCCCGCGGCGCUGGGUCGGUGGCGGAGGCUGAGGAGAAGGAGGAGCGGGCCGUGGAGGCUUCGCCGCCUAGGUACAGCUAUAACCAGAAUUUGGUAGAAAAAGGAUCUACUUGUUGGGGCCCUCUUGAUAAAAAGAGAUGUGGGGGGAUCCUCGACCUGCUAACAGAACUGGACCUUUUCGGAUCAAGAUUAUAGGACCGGCCCAAGUGAGGAGAAACCCAGCAGGCUUAUUCGAUUAAGUGGGGUGCCUGAAAAUGCCACAAAAGAAGAGAUUCUUAAUGCUUUUCGGACUCCUGAUGGCAUGCCUGUGAAGAACUUGCAGUUGAAGGAGUAUAACACAGGUUACGACUAUGGCUAUGUCUGCGUGGAGUUUUCACUCUUGGAAGAUGCCAUCGGAUGCAUGGAGGCCAACCAGGGAACUCUAAUGAUCCAGGACAAAGAAGUUACCCUGGAGUAUGUACCAAGCCUGGAUUUUUGGUACUGCAAACGAUGUAAGGCAAGCAUUGGUGGGCACCGAUCUUCCUGUUCAUUCUGCAAGAACCCAAGAGAAGUGACAGAGGCCAAGCAAGAAUUAAUAACCUACCCUCAACCUCAGAAAACAUCCAUACCAGCACCAUUGGAAAAACAGCCCAACCAGCCCCUAAGACCAGCUGAUAAGGAACCUGAACUCAGGAAGAGGGAAGAAGGACAGGAGUCACGCUUAGGACAUCAAAAGAGAGAAGCAGAAAGGUAUCUGCCUCCUUCUCGAAGGGAAGGGCCAACUUUCCGAAGAGACCGAGAGAAGGAGUCAUGGUCUGGAGAGACACGCCAGGAUGGAGAGAGCAAAACCAUCAUGCUAAAGCGUAUCUAUCGUUCCACACCACCUGAGGUGAUAGUGGAAGUGCUGGAGCCCUAUGUCCGCCUUACUACUGCCAACGUCCGUAUCAUCAAGAACAGAACAGGCCCUAUGGGGCAUACCUAUGGCUUUAUUGACCUCGACUCCCAUGCGGAAGCUCUUCGUGUGGUGAAGAUCUUACAGAACCUUGAUCCACCAUUUAGCAUUGAUGGGAAGAUGGUAGCUGUAAACCUGGCCACUGGAAAACGAAGAAAUGAUUCUGGGGACCAUUCUGACCACAUGCAUUACUAUCAGGGUAAAAAAUAUUUCCGAGAUAGGAGGGGAGGUGGCAGAAAUUCAGACUGGUCUUCAGAUACAAAUCGACAAGGACAACAGUCAUCAUCUGACUGCUACAUAUAUGAUUCUGCUACUGGCUACUAUUAUGACCCCUUGGCAGGAACUUAUUAUGACCCCAAUACCCAGCAAGAAGUCUAUGUGCCCCAGGAUCCUGGAUUACCUGAGGAAGAAGAGAUCAAGGAAAAAAAACCCACCAGUCAAGGAAAGUCAAGUAGCAAGAAGGAAAUGUCUAAAAGAGAUGGCAAGGAGAAAAAAGACAGAGGAGUGACGAGGUUUCAGGAAAAUGCCAGUGAAGGGAAGGCCCCCGCAGAAGACGUCUUUAAGAAGCCCCUGCCUCCUACUGUGAAGAAGGAAGAGAGUCCCCCUCCAAUGCCUUCAAGCAAUAGUCUCAACCUAAUCACCAGUGAUUCUGAUUGAAUGCAGCCUAAAGUGGUAAACCCACUGAUCGGCCUUUUGGGUGAAUAUGGAGGAGACAGUGACUAUGAGGAGGAAGAAGAGGAGGAACAGACCCCUCCCCCACAGCCCCGCACAGCACAGCACCAGAAGCGAGAGGAGCAAACCAAGAAGGAGAAUGAAGAAGACAAACUCACUGACUGGAAUAAACUGGCUUGUCUGCUCUGCAGA